UCAGGCAUGAUAUUCAACUCAACAUGACUCGGGAGUUGGAGUCAGGUAUUUUGUUUCAACAGGUGGUAGGGAUCGCUCGUCGGUUAGAGGGCAUGUGGGACCGAGAAUGGAGGACAUGCGAGAUCAGGAGAGAGAGUGCGGGGAGGUGAGGAGGCCUCGUAGACCAGAGAGAUCUGUUGGUUCUUAUUUUGGAGGCAAGGUGCGGCAUGGUAGAGGUUUCGUGGGUCAGCCAGUUCAAUUUGUGCUUCAAACUUCGCACUAUAAUUCAGGUGUUCAUGGGUCUUAAAGUACCUAUACCGCACAAUUCCUAUAGCCACAUCAGCAUCGAGGUUACUUUGAGUAUGGAGAUACUAGCCAUAUGGUGAUAUAUUGUCCCAAACUUCUGACAAAUGCGUCACAAUGAGGUAUUCAUGCGAGUAGAGGGCGCCCAAGAGGGUGAGGCACGUCCUGUUGCUGUGUUUCAUAUAGUAGGCUUAAGACCGCUAUGCCAGAUGAUGUCAUUCAGAUCAAGGUUUUGAUCGUUAGUAGCUGAGCAGAUUCUUGUCAAGGAGACUAAAGAUAAACCUGAUGCUGCGUUCGCAGGCUUCGGGGUCACCUUCAUAUUUCGUAUUCACACAGUUGUACUUAUUCCCAUACAGUUGUGUUUAGAAAUUGUAGCGAAACUCUGUAGAGCUUAUGACUUGUACCGCCGAUUUUGGGAAGAUGUAAAUUUCAUAAAGAUUUCUAUGUUGAAACUGUUAGACUUUCUUUAUUA